UACGGGGGGGGGCAAGCGUUGUUCGGAAUUACUGGGCGUAAAGGGCUCGUAGGCGGCCAACUAAGUCCGACGUGAAAUCCCCAGGCUUAACCUGGGAACUGCGUCGGAUACUGGAUGGCUUGAAUUCGGGAGAGGGAUGCAGAAUUCCAGGUGUAGCGGCGAAAUGCGUAGAUAUCUGGAGGAACACCGGUGGCGAAGGCGGCAUCCUGGACCAACACUGACGCUGAGGAGCGAAAGCCAGGGGAGCAAACGGG
rnacentral:rRNA from 1 species